rnacentral:rRNA from 1 species
UACGAAGGGGGCUAGCGUUGGUCGGAAUUACUGGGCGUAAAGCGCACGCAGGCGGAUUGAUAAGGCAGGGGUGAAAUACCGGGGCUUAACCUCGGAAUUGCCUUUGAUACUGUCUGUCUUGAGUCCGGGAGAGGUGAGUGGAAUUCCUAGUGUAGAGGUGAAAUUCGUAGAUAUUAGGAAGAACACCAGUGGCGAAGGCGGCUCACUGGCCCGGAACUGACGCUCAUGUGCGAAAGCGUGGGGAGCAAACAGG